UCAUUUUCCAGUAAACAAAAAUAUUCACGACUGGAUGGAACAGGGAAAUUUCUACCAUGGGUGAUUUGCAGACAACAAAUGACUCCGAGGAGGAAGUGGUGAUUGGAAUUUCGGAUCGAAAACCGGAAAUUCCCGCAGCGGAAUGUAUUUCUCCAGAAAUUCCAGAGAAACCGACACGACUGUCACCAGUUUUUGGAAACGACAGAGAUAUUCCGGACUUUUUGGCGAACGAGCGAAAAAAUGAAUGUAAAUUGCAAAAUCAUGUGCAUUUAGUGUCAAGAGGUACUCAAACUCCCGUGAAAGCGGAUUUGUCUCGUGAAUUAACGAGCCCUACAACCCCGAGACCAAGAAAACCCCCUGAAAAUCCAAACAGGCACAUCCAGGAGCUGAUGCUGACGAGAUCUCAAUUAUCCAACGUCCACCGAAAAUACCAGCAGCUAAAAUCACGUUUCCACCGUUUGCACACAGACUAUUACAAAUUAAUGAGCAUAACUGGUGAAUUGACAUCUUCAUUAUCGAAUUCGGUUCAUCGACAGCCAGUUUCGAUCGAAACUACCCUGAGAAACUGCAUGAGAAUAUAUCCCGAUUUAUUCAACAAGAAUAUACGAGGGAGUGAAAUAUCCCUGAGUUCAGACACCGAAAAUUACGACAGCACCUGUAAAUCAUUUCUCGUCACAGUACCACUACUCCCGAAGCUGUUGAAUUACAAAAAAAUUAAAUUCCAUUUGAUCAACGCAAAUAUCAAGACAAAACUGCUGCUGCUGCAGGCAUUACGCUGGAAGAUAACUCUCAGUCAACCUGAGGAGAGGGAUGACGUUGUCAAUGAAUAUAUCAACAGUGAUUUGCUCGGUUUGCAUGGGCAAUUAGCUGGAGACUCUGGAAGGGCAGUACUGCCUUAUUUGCUUGUGCCUCUCGAUGUCGUGCAGCCUCAUCCGCUCCAGCAAUCAGCUGCUAGAUUAUUAAAUACAUUUGCUUCACUCAAGUGUGGGAGGGAUUAUCUGGCGAUGGGACCAACUGUUCUCAAUGUGGUGGUCCAGUGUCUGGACAGCACCCACGCCGACUCGAUAGAUGCAUUCACAUGUGAUAUGAUAAUCGCAAUGCUGCAGAAACUAUCUUUAAGGAGACAUCAACGACUCUACAUGAUCGCCUCAGGUCUCGUGGAGUGGCUCGUUCAUCAUUUGAAGGCUGAGGGCCACUCCAUGGGUACUUACAGGCUCGAGUACGCAGCCGCUUUGUUAAUGAAUCUUUCGCUGCAUAAAGAGGCGCAGAUCAGAGCUGCUGCCAUGGCAACUGUACUCAUGUCAACUCUCAUUGCUCUCCUUGCUACUGAACAUUUGCCAGCGCUGCCGUAUGUCAAUGGUGCUCUCAAUAGUUUUUUAGCUAAUAGUUCUAUCAAUGAGGAGGCGAGACACGUGGGACUUGGGGCUAUCCUGGAAUAUCACAGGAAGCGGAGAACUGGGGAAUUGAGGAAACACCUGGAGUACAUACUUGAUCGUCAUCAACGACACCCCAAUGAAACCAUUGAGGAAUUACUCAAUGAUGACGAUGAUAAGGAAGAGUUUGAUGUACUUGAAGAUGAGUUGGAUGAGAUGGACCCCGUCAAGGUCAACGUGGGAGAUCUCUUCGGGGAAACGCUUUUGGCGAGUUGUUAUUCUUUGAAUAAUUUGCGGUCUAAUAGUCUUGAUGUAAUGAGUGUUAAAUCACCGGUUAUUGUGCAACAAGUACCAGAAUCUCUGUCUUAUGAUUCGAGGGAGGGAGAUAAUCAGGCGGGAGUUGGCGAUUGGAAGUCAAAGAGAUUAACGUGUGAAGCUCACGAGCGAAUAUACCCAAAUCCGAUAAAACUGCAGGGACUUGGGUAUUCCAUCGAGAGCUCCUUUCCAACCAUAAAUGAAUUCUCUCCCCUGGGGAACGAGAAAAAUCCCUCAGUCGAUUCCAGAUCGUCCUUUUUAACGUCCUUCGCCUCCCAGACCUCAAUCACAAGACCCGAUCCAUCCAAUUACCUCAUCACUUCCUUGGAAGACGUUGGAAAUUAAUUAAAAACUACUUACGAGGGAAAAACUAUUUUACGGGAAAGUCCUGUUAAUGUGAGUGCUGUUUCGUCUGAUCGAAUUCGAGGUAAGAAAAUUCUGUAGUAAAAGUCGAGGAAAAAACCAGUAAUUCGAUUGAAAUCGAUGAAAUGGAAAUGCCGAUGACGAAUAAAGGGAUCUCUAUUUCGGUGAAAUCAUUGACUUUCACUGUAGAUAAGUAAAUACGGUUCACGACCUGAAAACAAUGAAAAUAAGUGGAUCACGUACUGAACGAAAGUGAGAAUGGAAUGGACGGUCCCCCAUCAUUUUCCCCGGAAGGACUACAAAGCAGUGAAAUUCCCCCAGGGGACGAGGAAGAGGCG